GCACCGGUGGUGUACGGUACGCACCCCAUAAUCUUGAAAGACCUCCGUUGUCGUUGAUGGGGAGCCCGGGGUUCGACUCCCCGCCGGUGCA